rnacentral:ribozyme from 18 species
UGUUGGUGUAUUUUUCUUUUCUUUCCUUUUCUUUUCUCUUUUUUUUAUAUU